CAACGACAGAUCCUUAGCUUACUGAGUGAGUCCAGGGAUCAAACCUGCGUCCUCAUGGAUACUAGUCAGGUUCGUUUCCUCUGAGCAUUGCCAUGAGCUGUGGUGUAGGUCAGAGACAUGGCUCAAAUCUGGCGUCGCUGUGGCUGUGGUGUAGGUCAGCAGCUGUAGCUCCUAUUAGACCCCUAGCCUGGGAACCUCCAUAUGCUGCAGGUGUGGCCCUAAAAAAAAAAAAAGAUGUACACAGGACAGGAAAAUACACCCCCCACCCACACACAAUGCCUUCAUUUAGCCUUACUUGGAGUUGGCACUUUACUACUCACUGGAGAUGGCACCUUGAAGACCUCGAUUUGUCCAGAUUUUUCUUACCUGAAAAAGCAAACAUGAGAACAAAGUGUUGGGGGGCACUCAGGGAGUUGUUCUACUUCCUGUGUAAAGAUUACAUACGAACUUUUGCCAAAGUGCUUUUACUAUAUACCUGUGGGCUGAUGGGAUUUUCCCAACCCUGUGACUUAAAGAAGGGAUCAUCCCUAAUCUCAUCAAAGGAAUCUGGUGGAAAGCAGCUCUAAAAGACACUCAGGAUCCAGGAUUGGAAAGGGUAAAGCUGACAAAAGGCCACCCUCACUCAUCCCCACUACUCAUUCUUUCUGGCCCCCUGCGUGGGCUGUUUUCUGUCCUUAAAGAUGGUUUGCAGCCCAUACUUCCUGUGCUUAGAUCGACUUUGCCAGCAGAACCUGUGAAGGAGCUAGGAAUGCUUGUCAGAGAGAGAGAAACGGGAAGGCUAAACUCACCUGGGUGCCAUCUUGAAGAAGUUCAGAUUUUUCCACCAAGAGGCUCAUUUUUGUAUCUGAACUUACAAGAAUGAGACAAUAUAUAAGCAGUCAAUGAAUCCCUUUCUUAAAACAACCAGAGAAUGAAUCAGUGAAUCAAUCCUGCUUUCUGACUUGCUCAUGGCCAAGACUUCGAAUCUGAAAUUAGCAAAUUCAAUAUUCUAAUCUGUUUACCGUGGAGAUAUGUCAUUGCAGUUGUUGCAUGUUGUAUCUAUGACAGGACUGGGGAUAUUCAUUCCACAUGUUGAUGCGCUCCGCUUUGGAAAACGGGGAAUGAAACCUCCACUGUAGACUCCCUCUGAGUGACCACAGCAAGGCUUUUACCGGCCAGCCAGGUUAGCCUCUCUCAGUCUUGCUAGCCUGAAGGGGAGGGGGGCCUUGUGCAAACUAUCUCUGAAACCCAAACUCAAUGCUCACUUACCUCUGUGAGUGGCUUUUUUUUUUUUUUUUUUUUUUUUGCUUUUUAGGGCCUCUACCACAGCAUAUGGAAGUUUCUACGUCAAAUCGGAGCUGCAGCUGCUGGCCUGCACCACAGCAACAUGGGGUCGGAGUGGUGGGCCUGUCCCAAAGCAAAUAUAUUAGAAGUAGCCCAGACUGCAUUUGGGGAUUAUUAUUAUUUACAUAACAUUCCUUUUUUAUGUUUUGUCCCAUGAGUGGUAACCUAAAUCACAUACUUCCUGUCUGGUCUUGAGAUCACAGUGCUAUGGGAAGGUGACACUGUCAGCAGGGAAGCAUUUCCGAGACCUCUGUUAAACAUAUCAUCUUAUUUCUAAAGGAAGUUUUAUUUUCUGUGAAAGUAAUUUUCUCAUGUUGAUCUCAGAGGAAAAGGCAGUUGACAUUCAAAGUGAUAUGAACAAGUAAUAUAAGCUUAUAUUUUGUUUUUGUUAACACUUUAGUGUGUUCGAAGUGAGGGUUUUUUUUAACUUCUGAAAAAGAAAGAUUGCUUUAUUUCAAGAUUCUUAGGUCUGCUUAAUUACAUGUAUUAUGUUUUUCAACCACAUUCUGAAUAAGAAAUUAUGACUGCGUGCAGGAGCAAACUACUUCUUUUUUGUUUUUGUUUCUGGUGGUGAUGGAGGAGGGAGAUAGAGUGAAGCUUCACGAUGUGGAGGGCUUCUCUCUAGGAAAAAAGGAAGUAUUUAGAAAUACAAAUUAAAUGUGAAAGUGAAUAUUUAUUUUAAAUGAGACAAAUCCAGGAAAAAUUGUAAAUUUUUAGAAGUUGUAUAAUCAUGCUCCAGUUAUCUCUCGUUUUGGUGUGUGCGUGUGUGUGUGUGUGUGUGUGUGUGUGUGUGUGUGUGUGCACGUGUGACGUGUGUGUUUCCAGUUACACCUGCAGCAUGUGAAAAUUCCUGGAGUUCCCAUCGUGGCGCAGCAGGAAACGAAUCUGACUAGGAACCAUGAGGUUGCGUGUUCGAUCCCUGGCCUCGCUCAGUGGGUAAAGGAUCCAGCGUUGCCAUGAGCUAUGGUGUAGGUCGCAGAGGCAGCUCGAAUCUGGCAUAGCUGUGGCUGUGUUGUAGGCCAGCAGCUGUAGCUCCUAUUAGACCCCUAGCCUGGGAAUCUCCAUAUGCCAUGGGCAUGGCCCUAAAAAGACAGAAGACAAUAAAAUAAAAUAGGAGCUUUGAUAUUUCUUCAAAAAAAAGAAAUUCCCAGGUUAGGGGUGAAAUUAGAGCUGCAGCUGUCAGCCUACGCCACAGCCACGGCAACACUGGAUCCGAGCCGCAUCUGCAACCUACUGUACAGCUUUCAGCAACUCGGGAUCCUUAACCCACUGAGUGAGGCCAAGGAUCGAACCCACCACAUCCUCAUGGACACUAUGUCAGGUUCUUAGUCUGCUGAAUCACAAUAGGAACUCCCAGUUAUCUAUUACUGUGUAAUGGAUCACUCAAAUCAUAGUGGCUUCACCAACAACAAUAUAUUUAUUAUCAUCUCUCACAGCUCUAGAGUUGUCUGAACUUAGCUAGAAGUCCUUGCUCAGGGUUUUUCUGAAGUUGCCUUCAGAUGGUGGCAGAGGCUGGAGUCACCUUGUGGCUCACUCCUCAUGUGUCAGCAGUUGCUGCUGACCGUGGGCUGGGACCUCAGCUGAGGCUGAUGGCUGGAAUACCGACAUAUGCGACCUCUCCAUGUGGUCUUUCCACUUCCUCGUGACAUGGUGACAAGGCUCAUAGAAAACCAGAUGAACACUGUAUCUCCUCUUAUGAACCAGCCUUGGCCGUCACAUAGCUUGUAUACCAGUGUCAUAGUGCUACUACGACAAAUUACCACAGAUUUAGGGGCUGAAAACAACACAUUUACUAUCUUAUAGUUCCGGGAGUCAGACGUUUGAAAUGGGUUUCACUGAGCUAAAAUCAAGGUGUCAGCAGGGCUGUAUUCCUUCUGGAGGCUCUACGGAAAAUAUAUUUCCUCGCCUUUUCCACCUUCUAGAGACCACACUCCUUGGCUCAUGGCCCCUUCCUUCAUUUUCAAAGCCAACAUCGUAACCUCUUCCAGUCUUUCUCAAUUCUGACUCUUCUGCAUUCUUUUUAUACUCAUAAAGACCCUUGUAAUUACAUUGGGCUCACCUGGAUCGUCUAGGCUACUAUCUCCAUCUGGAGGUCAGUUGAUCUGCAACCUUGGUCCCCCUGCCCCUGCCCCUGCCCCCACUAUAUAACAUGACAUGUUCACAUUCACAGGUUCCAGGGAUUAGGACAUAGACAUCUGUGGGGGCUAUUAUUCUACCUUAAUCUGCAUUCCUUCAGCCACAGCCACAAGUCUGGUCACGUUCAAGGUUCAAGGGCAGGGCACAUAGACUCUACCUCUUGAUGACAGGCCUGUUGAUCACAUGAUAAGAAGAGCAUGUGGAAUGGGAGCUGUGGGAACAGUCUCUGGAAAGUAAAAUCUUCCACUCUCACAAACAUCACAAAUCGAGGAAAGGCCACGAUCAUUUUUAUUAAUAAAUUACCUGAUACAGACCU
rnacentral:lncRNA from 1 species